UGCCAGACUCCUACGGGAGGCAGCAGUGGGGAAUAUUGCACAAUGGGGGAAACCCUGAUGCAGCAACGCCGCGUGAGUGAAGAAGCCAUUCGUGAUGUAAAGCUCUAUCAGCAGGGAAGAAAAUGACGGUACCUGAGUAAGAAGCCCCGGCUAACUACGUGCCAGCAGCCGCGGUAAUACGUAGGGGGCAAGCGUUAUCCGGAUUUACUGGGUGUAAAGGGAGCGUAGACGGCCAGACAAGUCUGAAGUGAAAAUCCAGCGCUUAACGUUGGAAGUGCUUUGGAAACUGCCGGGCUGGAGUGCAGGAGGGGCAGGCGGAAUUCCUAGUGUAGCGGUGAAAUGCGUAGAUAUUAGGAGGAACACCAGUGGCGAAGGCGGGUUCCUGGACAUUAACUGACGCUGAGGCACGAAGGCCAGGGGAGCGAAAGGGAUUAGAUACCCGUGUAC
rnacentral:rRNA from 1 species